CGCUGGCGGCGUGCUUAACACAUGCAAGUCGAACGAGAGGAGAAGGAAGCUUGCUUCUUUCAAAUCUAGUGGCAAACGGGUGAGUAACACGUAAACAACCUGCCUUCAGGAUGGGGACAACAGACGGAAACGACUGCUAAUACCGAAUACGUUCCUUAGGUCGCAUGACUUUAGGAAGAAAGGGUGGCCUCUACUUGUAAGCUAUCGCUUUGCGAUGGGUCUGCGUCUGAUUAGCUAGUUGGUGGGGCAACGGCCUACCAAGGCGACGAUCAGUAGCCGGUCUGAGAGGAUGAACGGCCACAUUGGAACUGAGACACGGUCCAGACUCCUACGGGAGGCAGCAGUGGGGAAUCUUCCGCAAUGGGCGAAAGCCUGACGGAGCAACGCCGCGUGAGUGAUGACGGCCUUCGGGUUGUAAAGCUCUGUGAUCGGGGACGAACGGUCAGCAGACGAAUACUCUGCUGAAGUGACGGUACCCGAAUAGCAAGCCACGGCUAACUACGUG
rnacentral:rRNA from 1 species